AAGCACUUUACAUUGCAGAGAGGGAGGCGACCAUUCCCUAAUUUUCCCAUCCAGCCAGUAGCCGCAGAAACACCCAGAGGGGAAUAUUUCAAAGCUUUGUUCAGAGGUGGAAUCAGUUUUCGACCAGUCGCAAUUAUGUCUGGGCAUUCUUAUCAAGGAAAAAAGAAUAUUCCAAAGAUCACAAGCGACAGGCUUCUGGUCAAAGGCGGGAGGAUCGUUAAUGAUGACCAGUCCUUUUAUGCCGACAUUUACAUGGAGGAUGGCGUCAUUAAGCAGAUUGGAGACAACCUGAUUGUGCCAGGUGGGAUCAAGACCAUUGAGGCCAACGGCAAGAUGGUGAUCCCCGGUGGCAUUGACAACCACACCCACUUCCAGAUGCCCUACCGGGGGACCACCACCGUGGACGACUUCUCCCAGGGCACCAAGGCUGCCCUGGCUGGGGGAACCACCAUGAUCGUGGAUCAUGUGAUCCCGGAGCCAGGCAGCAGUCUGAUCGAGGCCUUUGAGCAGUGGAGGAGCUGGGCCGAUGAGAAGACCUGCUGUGACUACUCCCUCCAUGUGGACAUCACCCACUGGAGCGACAGUGUCAAGCAGGAGGUGGACACACUGCUCAAGGAAAAAGGUGUGAACUCCUUCCAGGUCUACAUGGCCUAUAAGGACUUCUACCAGAUGAGCAACAGUGAGCUGUAUGAGAUCUUUACCUUCCUGGGAGAGAUGGGUGGCAUUGUGCAGGUCCAUGCUGAGAAUGGAGAGAUCAUCGCCGAGGAGCAGGCACGCAUGCUGGAGAUGGGCAUCACUGGACCAGAGGGACACGUGCUGAGCAGGCCAGAGGAGCUGGAGGCAGAGGCUGUGUUCCGCGCCAUCACCAUUGCCAGCCAGACCAACUGUCCCCUGUAUGUGACAAGGGUCAUGAGCAAGAGUGCUGCCGACAUCAUCUCACAGGCCAGGAAAAAAGGCAACGUUGUGUUUGGCGAGCCAAUCACGGCCAGCCUUGGGACUGACGGGACACACUAUUGGAGCAAGAACUGGGCCAAGGCUGCCUCCUUUGUGACAUCACCCCCCCUCAGCCCGGACCCCACCACCCCAGACUACCUGAACACAUUACUGGCCAGUGGUGACCUGAAUGUGACUGGCAGUGCCCACUGCACCUUCAGCGUGGCCCAGAAGGCCAUAGGGAAGGAUGACUUCACUCAGAUCCCUGAGGGUGUGAACGGAGUGGAGGAGAGGAUGUCCCUCAUCUGGGAGAAGGCUGUGACCACUGGCAAGAUGGACGAGAACAUGUUCGUUGCUGUGACGAGCACCAACGCCGCCAAGAUCCUAAACCUGUACCCCCGUAAGGGACGGAUAGCUGUGGGCUCCGAUGCUGACCUGGUCAUUUGGGACUCAGAUGCUGUCCGCACCAUCACCGCCAAGACGCACAACUCGGCUGCUGAGUACAAUGUGUUUGAGGGCAUGGAGCUCCGUGGUGCCCCCUCGGUGGUGAUCUGCCAGGGGAAGCUGGUGCUGGAGGAUGGGAACCUGCACGCCACCUCCGGGGUGGGCCGCUUCAUCCCCUGCACCCCCUUCCCGGACUUUGCUUACAAGCGCGUCAAGGCCAGGAAGCAGUUGGCAGUCCUGCGGGCAGUGCCCAGGGGCAUGUAUGACGGUCCUGUGUCUGACUUCUCGCCCAUGUCUCGUGGCGGUACCCCCUCAGCGUCUGCCCGUACCUCCCCCACCAAGCAGCCUGUGAGGAACCUGCACCACUCUGGCUUUAGUUUAGCAGGUAAACCUGCACAGCGUGGUCCCCCCACCACAGAGGAUAUCCUCAUCCUGGUGCUUAAAGAGACAGUACUCUAAUCCUGUUUGUCUGUUAGGUCCCCCCACCACAGAGGAUAUCCUGGUGCUUAAAGAGACAGUACUCUAAUCCUGUUUGUCUGUUAGGUCCCCCCACCACAGAGGAUAUCCUGGUGCUUAAAGAGACAGUACUCUAAUCCUGUUUGUCUGUUAGGUCCCCCUACCACAGAGGAUAUCCUGGUGCUUAAAGAGACAGUACUCUAAUCCUGUUUGUCUGUUAGGUCCCCCCACCACAGAGGAUAUCCUGGUGCUUAAAGAGACAGUACUCUAAUCCUGUUUGUCUGUUAGGUCCCCCCACCACAGAGGAUAUCCUGAUGCUUAAAGAGACAGUACUCUAAUCCUGUUUGUCUGUUAGGUCCCCCCACCACAGAGGAUAUCCUGAUGCUUAAAGAGACAGUACUCUAAUCCUGUUUGUCUGUUAGGUCCCCCCACCACAGAGGAUAUCCUGAUGCUUAAAGAGACAGUACUAUAAUCCUGUUUGUCUGUUAGGUCCCCCCACCACAGAGGAUGUCCCCAUCCGGCCAGCCGGACGCCGCAUCGUAGUUCCUCCUGGUGGUCGCUCCAACAUCACAUCCCUCAGCUAAGAGGUUUAACCAGGAGAGAUACCAGUCAAAAGAUGACAACAGCCAUUGGGAGACGACGGAGACAUGAUUAGUUAAAACAAGUUAAGUUGAGUAAAACACUGAAUCCUCAUGCCUUACCAGCCACAAUGCUACCUGCUUAAGUUCUAAAAGCUCAGUACUACUCCUCCUAGGCAAUUGCAGGUCAGUCACUAGAACAAAAUAUGAAUUUAAAGUACAUUUGUUUACCAAAAGAUUGGGUUUGUAUGCUCUGGAAUAACAGGAGUAUGUUCAUAACCAGAAUAUAGGUGAUCAAUUUGUAUUACUGUCCCUCAUUGUCUACGUUAGUAAUUGUGUCAACUGUGUAUUGACAUUUUAGGCAAUGCUCUGAAUCCAUAAUAUAGUUAAAUAAACCUCAUGAUACCAAUUUCCACAGUGUUCUGAUGCUUGUUACCUAGGAAAAGUAAUAUGGCCUUUUUCUUCCAUCACGUUUGGCUUUCACCCUUUUUGAGUACUAGUCUGCUGAUUUAGUUCCCUAGCAAUGUAAUGAUAACAUGCAGUAACGUCCAUAACUGAUAGGUGGCAUUGUGAGUACGUAUGAUUGAUGUAACGUAGCUUUGUGAAUGAUGUUGCUCGCUGCCUCCCUGGGUUGUUGAACCAGGAGUGAUAUUCAUUAGAGAUUGUCUUGUUUCUUAUUUUUCUUGAAGAUAAACAUGCAACAGCAUUGUCAUGUUUAAUUUCCCCCCUGCGCUCCGCUCCACUCCAUCCUGGCUGUAGAUUAUAUUGUGAGAAACCGUCCUUUGCAUUUGCUUCAAGCUUAAUGCCUGUUCCUAUUCAUACCUUUUAGCAAGUCAUCUGGAUGGUUAAGAAACAUGUAACCCUUGCACAAGAAGUAAAACCAAGCUUAACUUCCAUGGCCUGGGUCGUGAAAUUGUAAUUAUGAGCUUUGUGAACAAUAAUACAUAAAAAAAAUGUUUAUGAUAAAAGUAACAAACCUUUAAAAUCACAGUAAUUUACCUCUGGCUUUAUUUCUAUUUUCCUGACAAUGUGGCUCUCGUUUUGAAGCAACAGACCAUCAUUCCUUGCAUUCAACAACAUAACAUUGAAAGAUAAUGUUGUGCUGGUUUAAAUCGCAACACUCCGAGAGAGUCCCCACAAUGCUGUACACUUUAGCUGACUGACAGCCCUUGGUUUGGUAACUAACUAACACCAAGGGGAGGACAGACCGGCGUAACCCUGGGUCACUCUCUUUCAGAGUCAUUUUCUAUGCUUCUGGUCUGUCUACCUGUCCCAGACAAGGCAGGGGAUUGUAUGUUUUUAGAAUGAGGCUAGGAGGAGGAGGAUAUGGAGAGCUUUAUUUUUGCUCUCCCAAUCAGCUGAGGAAGAGGUCGUGAGGAGGUCGUUGUUUUUUAUUGAGUGAUGAUGUGUAAUUUCAAGCAAUCCAAGUGGUGAUUAUAUUUAUGUUAGUUUGAAUUGAUCUUUUUUAUAGUUUUUAUGUCUUUUUUUUACUGUUGUAUCAACCCAGAGAAGGCAGGUCAAAACAACAUUGAGGUGUGAUGUGGUGGUAUGAACUGUUCCUGAAUAAACAUGAGUUGCAACUGA